AGAGGUGUGCUAUUUGGCUAGCGAUCGGAUUGCAAAUCUGAUUUAUGUAGGUUCGAAUCCUACCUCCUCUU
rnacentral:tRNA from 1 species